rnacentral:rRNA from 1 species
GGCGAGCGGCGGAACGGGUGAGUAAUGCCUGGGGGAUCUGCCCAGUCGAGGGGGAUAACAGUUGGAAACGACUGCUAAUACCGCAUACGCCCUACGGGGGAAAGGAGGGGACCUUCGGGCCUUUCGCGAUUGGAUGAACCCAGGUGGGAUUAGCUAGUUGGUGGGGUAAUGGCUCACCAAGGCGACGAUCCCUAGCUGGUCUGAGAGGAUGAUCAGCCACACUGGAACUGAGACACGGUCCAGACUCCUACGGGAGGCAGCAGUGGGGAAUAUUGCACAAUGGGGGAAACCCUGAUGCAGCCAUGCCGCGUGUGUGAAGAAGGCCUUCGGGUUGUAAAGCACUUUCAGCGAGGAGGAGAGGUUGACGCCUAAUACGUGUCAACUGUGACGUUACUCGCAGAAGAAGCACCGGCUAACUCCGUGCCAGCAGCCGCGGUAAUACGGA